AACGAACGCUGGCGGCAUGCCUAACACAUGCAAGUCGAACGAGACCUUCGGGUCUAGUGGCGCACGGGUGCGUAACGCGUGGGAACCUGCCCUUAGGUUCGGAAUAACUCCCCGAAAGGGGUGCUAAUACCGGAUAAUGUCUUCGGACCAAAGAUUUAUCGCCGUUGGAUGGGCCCGCGUUGGAUUAGCUAGUUGGUAGGGUAAAAGCCUACCAAGGCGACGAUCCAUAGCUGGUCUGAGAGGAUGAUCAGCCACACUGGGACUGAGACACGGCCCAGACUCCUACGGGAGGCAGCAGUGGGUAAUAUUGGACAAUGGGCGAAAGCCUGAUCCAGCAAUGCCGCGUGAGUGAUGAAGGCCUUAGGGUUGUAAAGCUCUUUUACCCGGGAUGAUAAUGACAGUACCGGGAGAAUAAGCUCCGGCUAACUCCGUG
rnacentral:rRNA from 1 species